rnacentral:tRNA from 2 species
GGGCCCGUGGCCUAGUCUGGUGGGGCGCUGGUCUUAUAAACCAGAGGUCCUGGGUUCAAAUCCCAGCGGGCCCA